AGGACGAACGCUGGCGGCGUGCUUAACACAUGCAAGUCGAGCGGAAAGGCCCUUCGGGGUACUCGAGCGGCGAACGGGUGAGUAACACGUGAGUAAUCUGCCCCUAGCUCUGGGAUAGCUCCGGGAAACCGGGAUUAAUACCAGAUACGACCACUUUAGACAUCUGUUAUGGUGGAAAGAAUUUUGGCUAGGGAUGAGCUCGCGGCCUAUCAGCUUGUUGGUGAGGUAACGGCUCACCAAGGCGACGACGGGUAGCCGGCCUGAGAGGGCGACCGGCCACACUGGGACUGAGACACGGCCCAGACUCCUACGGGAGGCAGCAGUGGGGAAUAUUGCGCAAUGGGCGAAAGCCUGACGCAGCGACGCCGCGUGGGGGAUGAAGGCCUUCGGGUUGUAAACCCCUUUCAGCAGGGACGAAGCGAAAGUGACGGUACCUGCAGAAGAAGCGCCGGCUAACUACGUGCCAGCAGCCGC
rnacentral:rRNA from 1 species